GACGAACGCUGGCGGCGUGCUUAACACAUGCAAGUCGAACGGUAAGGCCCUUCGGGGUACACGAGUGGCGAACGGGUGAGUAACACGUGGGUGAUCUGCCCUGCACUUCGGGAUAAGCCUGGGAAACUGGGUCUAAUACCGGAUAGGACCACUGCCUGCAUGGGUGGUGGUGGAAAGCUUUUGCGGUGUGGGAUGGGCCCGCGGCCUAUCAGCUUGUUGGUGGGGUGAUGGCCUACCAAGGCGACGACGGGUAGCCGGCCUGAGAGGGUGACCGGCCACACUGGGACUGAGAUACGGCCCAGACUCCUACGGGAGGCAGCAGUGGGGAAUAUUACACAAUGGGCGCAAGCCUGAUGCAGCGACGCCGCGUGAGGGAUGACGGCCUUCGGGUUGUAAACCUCAUUCAGCACCGACGAAGCGCAAGUGACGGUAGGUGCAGAAGAAGGACCGGCCAACUACGUGCCAGCCGCCGCAGUAA
rnacentral:rRNA from 1 species